GACGAACGCUGGCGGCGUGCUUAACACAUGCAAGUCGAACGGAAAGGCCCUGCUUUUGUGGGGUGCUCGAGUGGCGAACGGGUGAGUAACACGUGAGUAACCUGCCCUUGACUUUGGGAUAACUUCAGGAAACUGGGGCUAAUACCGGAUAGGAGCUCCUGCUGCAUGGUGGGGGUUGGAAAGUUUCGGCGGUUGGGGAUGGACUCGCGGCUUAUCAGCUUGUUGGUGGGGUAGUGGCUUACCAAGGCUUUGACGGGUAGCCGGCCUGAGAGGGUGACCGGCCACAUUGGGACUGAGAUACGGCCCAGACUCCUACGGGAGGCAGCAGUGGGGAAUAUUGCACAAUGGGCGGAAGCCUGAUGCAGCAACGCCGCGUGCGGGAUGACGGCCUUCGGGUUGUAAACCGCUUUCGCCUGUGACGAAGCCUGAGUGACGGUAAUGGGUAAAGAAGCACCGGCUAACUACGU
rnacentral:rRNA from 1 species